AACGAACGCUGGCGGCGUGCCUAACACAUGCAAGUCGAACGAGAAAGGGGCUUCGGCUCCGAGUAAAGUGGCGCACGGGUGAGUAACACGUAGGUAACCUGCCUCUAAGAUUGGGAUAACUUGUCGAAAGAUGAGCUAAUACCAAAUAAGACCACGGUUUCCUCGGGGACAGGGGUCAAAGGUAGCCUCUAUUUAUAAGCUAUCGCUGAGAGAUGGGCCUGCGUACCAUUAGCUAGUUGGGAGGUAACGGCUCACCAAGGCAAAGAUGGUUAGCUGGUCUGAGAGGAUGAUCAGCCACACUAGAACUGAGACACGGUCCAGACUCCUACGGGAGGCAGCAGUGGGGAAUAUUGCGCAAUGGGCGAAAGCCUGACGCAGCAACGCCGCGUGAGUGAU
rnacentral:rRNA from 1 species